GCUGGGCAUGGUGGCGCACACCUGUAAUCCCAGUGGCUCAGGAGGCUAAGGCAGGAGGAUUGUGAGUUCAAAGCCAGCCUCAGCAAAAGCAAGGCACCAAGCAACUCAGUGAGACCCUGUCUCUA
rnacentral:sRNA from 1 species